rnacentral:rRNA from 1 species
AUGGCCGACAUCGAGAAUCCUGGUUCCGAGAAGGACGGCCAGGGCCUCGUGGUGAUGGUGGCGGAGCGGAGCAAGUUCGUCAGGAUCACGGCCAUGUGCACGCUGCUCUUCUUUGGUUUUGCGUUACUAUUCAUCUCAUUACUCCUAGUCCAACUCUUCCAGUACACCUAUCCGAAGAACAAGCUCGCCGUCGUUGCGUUAGUCAUGGGGAUCAUAGGCAUGCCUGUUGCUUUGUCAUGGAUAUUGCUUUUCUGCCGUUUCACUGAAGACCUCCCCAUCCUCGACGAAGAUACAAAGAGACGUGGGGGACUCAUAGAUAGGUUCGUCCAAUUCCACGUUGAUUUUUUUAAGGUGCUAGUUCGCUGA